ensembl:lncRNA
UCAUUGGCAGCAGAGAACUGGAAGCAGAGGUGGCCAAAGAAAGAAUUGGUUUUAGGGUUGACCAGAGAGAUAUACCUGCUGGAGCAUGUGCUACAGAUCUCGUAUCAUGAAAAAACUUGCAUUGGGAACUAAAAUAUGUUCCCCAUGACGGAACCCCCUUCCUGGUGGUCGGGAGGAAAACCUACGCCUGCCACCAGGGCGAGGAUAAACAUGCGAGUGAUAAGAAGAGGGAAGCAGAAAUGUGUCUGGACUGUGCCUACCUGAAGCCUACCUGGACUGUGGCUGAGGACCCUGGGCAUGCCUACCCAUAGCCCCUCCCCACACUCCCUAGCAUGCUUGUACCUAAGCUAAAUACUGAGUAUUCCAUCUCACCCUCUUCCUCUCCUCUUCUGUCCUCUCCUCCCCUAAGCCCAGUCCUGGGCACAAACUAUUUUAUAUUGAAUUUAUAUUGAGCAUGCUUUUUUGUCCAGGACUAGGUGUAAUCUGAGUCUGGGAAACCAGCCCAUACUCUAGACAAUGAGAUUAUUCCAGAAUACUAUCAAAAUAAAGAUUGUUUUCUAUGAUUGUUCUAUGGUACAUUUAACAUUUCCAUUCUACAAUAUGGCCUUUGACAAAGAAAACUCUCUCAAAAUCCUAUUGUAUUUUUUUAACCUUUAUUUAACUAGGCAAGUCAGUUAAGAACAAAUUCUUAUUUUCAAUGACAGCCUAGAAACAGUGGGUUAACUGCCUGUUCAGGGGCAGAACGACAGAUUUGUACCUUGUCAGCUCGGGGGUUUGCACUUGCAACCUUCCGGUUAUAAGUCCAACGCUCGAACCACUAGGCUACGCUGCCGCCCCGGUAUGGUUUGUCUCAGAACAGGAGGCGGUGGAGAAAAGCACAAAACCAAGAGGCUGAGAGAGAACAAGGUAAAACAAGGUAAGGAUAAUAUAUAAAAAAUGAACUUCAGUGGGAGUUAACACACAUACACACAUCUA